rnacentral:tRNA from 1 species
GCCUCGCUGGCUCAGUUGGUUGAGCAUCUGACUUCAGCUCAGGUCAUGAUCUCGCAGUUCAUGGGUUCAAGCACCAUGUCGGGCU